rnacentral:tRNA from 1 species
CAAGCCUUCUGGCGAUCUAGACAAAACAAGUCCACCGUGGGCUUUGAAAAACGCUUUCCUUGAUAAAAUUUAAGCGUUUUAUAAGAGGAUGCCGGGGAAGGUUUUCCGGUUUAUCCCGGAGGGCUUGUAGCUCAGUUGGUUAGAGCGCGCGCUUGAUAAGCGUGAGGUCGGAGGUUCAAGUCCUCCCAGGCCCACCAGUUUAUCCAUUACUUUCAUAAGUGCUUUUAAAAAAUAAGUACUUCUAAAAAGAUUGCUUCUAAAAAGCUUAUCAAAAUUGGCAGGCUUAUUGCUUUUGUGUGAGUAAUCCAAAGUUAAAGCAAAUUAAUGGCAAAAAAACAGUUCAAAUGCUAAAUACUAAGGAGUCAAAAUUCCUUGCAAAGUGAUUUUUACAGCGUCCAUUUGGUUGAUAUAAAUUCCAAAUGCUCAUAGACGUCAAUGCCUAUAUGAAACUAUCGGUUCAAUCAUAUCGCUUUGAGUUAUAUAGAUUUUGUAAUCCCUCUUUUGAUCGUUUUAAACGCUUUAUUCUGAUUUAGGGGCCGUAGCUCAGCUGGGAGAGCACCUGCUUUGCAAGCAGGGGGUCGUCGGUUCGAUCCCGUCCGGCUCCACCAUAAGGUCAUCAUCAUU